AACGAACGCUGGCGGCAGGCUUAACACAUGCAAGUCGAACGAGAAAGCUCUUCGGAGUGAUUAAAGUGGCGCACGGGUGAGUAACACGUAGGUGACCUACCCUUCAAUUGGGGACAACAGAGAGAAAUUUCUGCUAAUACCGAAUACGUUGAGUGACUUUGGAAGGAACUCAAGAAAGAUGGCCUCUGUAUAUGCUAUCGUUGAAGGAAGGGCCUGCGGGGCAUUAGCUUGAUGGUGGGGUAAUGGCUUACCAUGGCGAUGAUGUCUAACUGGUCUGAGAGGAUGAUCAGUCACACUGGAACUGAGACACGGUCCAG
rnacentral:rRNA from 1 species